CCUACGGGAGGCAGCAGUGAGGAAUAUUGGUCAAUGGACGAGAGUCUGAACCAGCCAAGUAGCGUGAAGGAUGAAUGCCCUCGGGGUUGUAAACUUCUUUUAUAAAGGAAUAAAACGAGGCACGUGUGCCUUUUUGCAUGUACUUUAUGAAUAAGGAUCGGCUAACUCCGUGCCAGCAGCCGCGGUAAUACGGAGGAUCCGAGCGUUAUUCGGAUUUAUUGGGUUUAAAGGGAGCGUAGAUGGGUUGGUAAGUUAGUUGUGAAAGUUUGCGGCUCAAACGUAAAAUUGCAAUUGAUACUGGCAGACUAGAGUAAGGUUGAGGUAGGCGGAAUUCGUGGUGUAGCGGUGAAAUGCGUAGAUAUCACGAAGAACCCCGAUUGCGAAGGCAGCUUACUA
rnacentral:rRNA from 1 species